rnacentral:rRNA from 1 species
AAUGAACGUUGGCGGCGUGGAUUAGGCAUGCAAGUCGAACGAGAUCUGUAGCAAUACAGUGAAAGUGGCGAAAGGGAGAGUAAUACGUAGGUACCUGCCCUCGGGUCUGGGAUAGCUGCGGGAAACUGCAAUUAAUACCGGAUGACGUCUCUGGACCAAAGGUGUGAUUCCGCCAGGGGAUGGGCCUGCGUCCUAUCAGCUAGUUGGUGUGGUAAUGGCGCACCAAGGCUAAGACGGGUACGGGGUGUGAGAGCAUGCCCCCGCUCACUGGGACUGAGAUACUGCCCAGACACCUACGGGUGGCUGCAGUCGAGAAUCUUCCGCAAUGGGCGCAAGCCUGACGGAGCGACGCCGCGUGUGGGAUGAAGGCCUUCGGGUUGUAAACCACUGUCAGUGGGGAGCAAAUGCAUCAGGGUUCUCCCUGGUGUUUGAGCGAUCCGCAGAGGAAGCACAGGCUAAUUCCGUGCCAGCCGCCGCAGUAAGAC